UACGUAGGGGGCAAGCGUUGUCCGGAAUUAUUGGGCGUAAAGGGCUCGUAGGCGGUGUGUCACGUCGGGAGUGAAAACUCAGGGCUUAACCCUGAGCCUGCUUCCGAUACGGGCAGACUAGAGGUAUGCAGGGGAGAACGGAAUUCCUGGUGUAGCGGUGAAAUGCGCAGAUAUCAGGAGGAACACCGGUGGCGAAGGCGGUUCUCUGGGCAUUACCUGACGCUGAGGAGCGAAAGUGUGGGGAGCGAACAGG
rnacentral:rRNA from 1 species